rnacentral:rRNA from 1 species
GACGAACGCUGGCGGCGUGCUUAACACAUGCAAGUCGAACGGAAAGGCCCUGCUUUUGUGGGGUGCUCGAGUGGCGAACGGGUGAGUAACACGUGAGUAACCUGCCCCUGACUUUGGGAGAACUUCAGGAAACUGGGGCUAAUACCGGAUAGGAGCUCCUGCUGCAUGGUGGGGGUUGGAAAGUUUCGGCGGUUGGGGAUGGACUCGCGGCUUAUCAGCUUGUUGGUGGGGUAGUGGCUUACCAAGGCUUUGACGGGUAGCCGGCCUGAGAGGGUGACCGGCCACAUUGGGACUGAGAUACGGCCCAGACUCCUACGGGAGGCAGCGGUGGGGAAUAUUGCACAGUGGGCGGAAGCCUGGUGCAGCAACGCCGCGUGCGGGAUGACGGCCUUCGGGUUGUGAACCACUUUCGCCUGUGACGAGGCGUGAGUGACGGUAAUGGGUAAAGAAGCACCGGCUAACUACGUG